rnacentral:rRNA from 1 species
UACAGAGGUCUCAAGCGUUGUUCGGAUUCAUUGGGCGUAAAGGGUGCGUAGGCGGCGCGGUAAGUCGGGUGUGAAACCUCGGGGCUUAACUCCGAAACUGCAUUCGAUACUGCCGUGCUUGAGGACUGGAGAGGAGACUGGAAUUUACGGUGUAGCGGUGAAAUGCGUAGAUAUCGUAAGGAAGACCAGUGGCGAAGGCGGGUCUCUGGACAGUUCCUGACGCUGAGGCACGAAGGUCAGGGGAGCAAACGGG